GGUUUGAUCAUGGCUCAGAUUGAACGCUGGCGGGAUGCUUUACAUGCAAGUCGAACGGCAGCACGGACUUCGGUCUGGUGGCGAGUGGCGAACGGGUGAGUAAUGUAUCGAACGUGCUCUAGUAGCGGGGGAUAACUACGAAAGCGUAGCUAAUACCGUGCUGCCGCCCUUCGGGGGAAAGCGGGGACCUUCGCCUCGCACUAUUAGAGCGGCCGAUAUCGGAUUAGCUAGUUGGUGGGGUAACGGCUCACCAAGGCGACGAUCCGUAGCUGGUUUGAGACGACCAGCCACACUGGGACUGAGACACGGCCUGUGACUCCUACGGGAGGUAGCAGUGGGGAAUUUUGGGACAAUGGGGAAACUCGAUCCAGCCAUCCGCAAAAGAGGAAGGCCUUCGGGUUAAAAAAGUACUUUCGGUAGGAAAGAAAACGGCACGGGAUAAUACCCCGUGCAACUGACGGUACCCGGCAGAAUAAGCACCGGCUAACUACGUGCCAGCAGCCGCGGUAAUACGUAGGGUGCAAGCGUUAAUUUGAACAUUGGGCGUAAAGUGCGUAGGUGGCUCCGGAAAGAAAGAUGUGAAAUCCCAGAGCUUAACUUUGGAACUUUAACUACUGAGCUAGGAGUGUCAGAGGGAGGUGGAAUUCGCGUGUAGCAGAAAUGCGUAGAUAUGCGGAGGAACACUGACGGCGAAGGUAGCCUCCUGGGAUAACACUGGAUGCUCAUGCACGAAAGUGGGGAGCAAACAGAUUAGAUACCCCGGUAGUCCACGCCGCCCUAAACGAUGUCAACUAGCUGUUGGGGCCUUCGGGCCUUGGUAGCAGUUGGUCAUGGUGAAGUUGACUGCCUGGGGAGUACGGGUCGCAAGAUUAAAACUCAAAGGAAUUGAUUUACCCGCACAAGCGGUGGAUGAUGUGAUUAAUUCGAUGCAACGCGAAAAACCUUACCUACCCUUGACAUGUCUGGAAUCCCGAAGAGAUUUGGGAGUGCUGCAAGAGAACCGGAACACAGGUGCUGCAUGGCUGUCGUCAGCUCGUGUCGUGAGAUGUUGGGUUAAGUCCCGGCAACGAGCGCAACCCUCGCCACAGUUGCUACGAAAGGCACUAUCGAGAUCGCCGGUGACAAACUGGAGGAAGGUGAUGACGUCAAGUCCUCAUGGCUCCUAUGGGCAGGGCUUCACACGUCAUACAAUGGUCGACAGAGGGUCGCCAACCCGCGAGGGAGAGCCAAUCCCAGAAACCCGAUCGUAGUCCGGAUCGCAGUCUGCAACUCGACUGCGUGAAGUCGGAAUCGCUAGCACCCUGUGGAUCAGCAUGUCGCGGUGAAUACGUUCCCGGGUCUUGUACACACCGCCCGUCACACCAUGUGGAGUGGGUUUUACCAGAAGUAGUUAGCCUAACCGUAAGGAGGGCGAUUACCACGGUAGGAUUCAUGACUGGGGUGAAGUCGUAACUAAGGCAA
rnacentral:rRNA from 1 species